UACGUAGGGUGCGAGCGUUAAUCGGAAUUACUGGGCGUAAAGCGUGCGCAGGCGGUUCGUUAUGUCCGAUGUGAAAGCCCCGAGCUCAACUUGGGAAUGGCAUUGGAAACUGGCGGGCUGGAGUGUGGCAGAGGGGGGGUGGAAUCCACGUGUAGCAGUGAAAUGCGUAGAGAUGUGGAGGAACACCGAUGGCGAAGGCAGCCCCCUGGGAUAACACUGACGCUCAUGCACGAAAGCGUGGGGAGCAAACAGG
rnacentral:rRNA from 1 species